AAAACAUUCCUCUAAGACCAACCUGUGCUUUGUGAGUUUUGAUGAUCUUCCCUCUUUCCUUGCCCAAAGGAAACUGUUUGUGACAUCUGGGGAAGAUUAUACAAAGCCAGCAACAUCUCCUGUUGAUACCCCUGAUGGCCAAGAGACUGCCUUUUCCAAAAUGAAAUCUGUCCUAGAAAAAGAUCUCCAGUUUGUGGUAAAAAUAACUAUUACUUCAGAGGCCCAUGGAAAAGCACCUGCCUGGGUAGCAGGAGACUGGCAAAUCACAGAUACAAAAAUGGAUGUGACACCUUCUGUGCAGAACCUCCAUUGGUGACGUUGAGCUGCCCCAGCUUCCUUUUUUCCUUGGAGAACUUUGUAUUAUCUUGAUUCUUAGUGACACAUGGAAGGUAAAAUGGUCUAAAUCUUAAUGAUUCGUGGGAUGGGGACUGUUUGUCAGCUUCAAUAAAUCUGUUAGCCUCUUUGACA
rnacentral:lncRNA from 1 species